GUUUUGGAAAUCAGGUCAGCUACUGUGUCUCAUUCUUAACUGCUCUAAUUACCCCAUAGCACAGCAAGAGACACACAGCGACCCCAGAAGGCUUCCCUUUGGAGUGAGAUACACUUCUUUGUGUUGUUAGAACAGAACAGGGGGGUACAUUUUCCUUCUUUGAGCUAUUAGUUUUGUAAAUCAUUCCAAACAGCCUCUCCCCUGGGUCACUCCACCUUCCCCAGCAGCAGCUGGUGGUGGGGCACCCUUUUAGCUGAUGAGAAGCCCUCAAUCACUGCCAGCUGCACACUGCCCCUGAACUCCAUCCUGCAACUCCCACCUUCCCAGCAGAUGUUACACAGCCAUACUUCAGUGAGCUAUCAAUUAAGGGAAUGCAGCUACCCUAAGGUAUAUCUGAGGAAGAUCCUACCUCUAGGCCACUUCCUUAGUUCUGUACCAUACAUUUUUAUGAAGCUUGUAGCCUGAAUGUUUCUCAAGUUGCAGGGUUGGUCCUCUGUGUGUGCAUGAAAUAUGAAGUGUGCCUGCAGUCCAAGCACCUCCUUCUGAGCCCCUGCACCAAGUGCAGAUGGAUUGGUUCUUUGGCCACUCACCUUACCUCCAAGAAAACGUGGAAGAGAGAUGCCUUUGGGAGCAAUCUGACUAAAUGACUUCCCUGGGGUCCAACAAGUACUCCAGGGCAGAAGCUGAACUGAACUCAGAGCUCCCAAGCAUUAGUAGGGCCUUAACCACAGAACGAUCUUUGUCUCAUUAUGUUAACAUGAUCUCAGUUAAAUGCUGCCUGACUUAAGUCUGUGAAGAUAAAAGCAAUGCUCUAGCUUAAAAAUGGAAUAAAAUGCUGGAAUCACUUCAGUACUAGUGAAUUAUUAAUAUUAACCAUGUAAAGAAAAAGUUCAGUGUUUCAGAGGAGUAACUUAAAAAAAAGGGCUUU